GCCAGCAGCCGCGGUAAUUCCAGCUCCAAUAGCGUAUAUUAAAAUUGUUGCAGUUAAAAAGCUCGUAGUUGAAUUUCUGCUAAAAAUAACCGGUCUGCUUUUAAUAAAGGUGGUAUCUUGGUGUGUUUUUAGCAAUAAUGUCCUUUGAAAUGUUUUUUACUUCAUUGUAAUAAAUUAUAUUUAGGAUUUUUACUUUGAGAAAAUUAGAGUGUUUCUAGCAGGCUAAUGCUUUGAAUA
rnacentral:rRNA from 1 species